ensembl:lncRNA
CAGUGGGUUUGACUGGGUCCUGCUCUCUGGGGUUUGAGUCCUGAUUGCGGUGCCUUGCGAUGGACUGGUGCCCUGUCCCGUGUGUGUCCCCUCCAGCCUUAUGCCGUGUGUUGCUGGGUUAGACUCCGGUUCGCCGUGACCCUGCUUGGGACAAGCAGUUUCAGCAACUGUGUGUGUGUGUGUGUGUGUAUGUGUGUGUGUGUGUGUCACCAUGGGCGAUUGAGAGGAAAUGCAGCAUAACUAUCGAAACUACGGCAGUUUGACAUCAGUGUCUAAACUGCAUUCCACCACAUUAGGAAAGCGAGGAAUGUUGCGUCGGAAAACACUCACAAUGGAAUUGCUGCGGGGCGCGCGCAUGCCCACGCCCAACGGCCACGCGGGCCCGUCCCCGACGCGAUAAAAUAGCGGGCGGCGGCGGCGCGCACCUCAGAGCUCGGGUCUGCAGCACCUGUUCCUUCUCGAAUUUCUCACUUCUCCUGGACUUGGGCUCCCAGCAGCUCCACACGACUACACCCGGAAUGGAAGACAGAGUGAUUUUCACCAUUGCCAUUGCGAUGGGUUGCUUGAUGUUUGGGGUCUGGGGACAAGCUCCCUCCAAUUCAUCCACCACGAUGACCCCCUCAAGCGGCAACAGUUCAGUGAGCUCCUCCGGUAACACUACGAUGACCCCCUCGAGCGGCAACAGUUCACUGAGCUCCUCCGGUAACACUACGAUGACCCCCUCAAGUGGCAACAGUUCAGCGUCCAACACGACUGCAAGCGGUUCAUCUGGCAACAGUACAGUGACCGUCCCACCCGCGACCAACUCAACUACCAAUGGAACAACCACGGGAAACGGCACGACUGUCACGUUCAGCGCUACAACAGUUUACAGCUCAGCCCCCGGCAUCAAUGCUGGGGGCUCUUUCAGUUUGUUGACGACACUCCCGGGCAUGAGGACACUUAACAGUGGUCUGUUGGUCACACUUGUUGCCGUGAUGCUCAGCUGGCUGUGAGUGGGAUGCUGAGAGCCAGAUGUCUAUUAAUCAUAACCACAAUAACUUUCCCCUUCAUCAUCCUCAUCAUCGUCAUCAUCAUCAUAUUUCCCAUCAUGGGUCACAAGGACAUGAGGAAGCCAUGUUUCUGCACCCCUGAUCUCUUCCAGUCCGGGUUUUUUUUUUUUUCCAUUUGGCUGAAUGUCGCCUUUAUAGAUUUGGGAAAUGAUUCACACGCUGCAUGCUGGUUCUUUAUUCAUGCAGAUAAGCGUAUUACAUGCUUGUGCGUAUUUUUUUCCCUUUACCUAUACAUGUUCUCAUUACACUCAAGUCACUUAAUGACUGACACUCUGACAAUGCUGUAAAAAGAUACAUUCCUUAUAUUGUCUUAAUUAAAAGGUGCAGGGUGCCAUAUUAUAUGUUGUCUACAUUACAUUUUACUAAAGAUACAGUAGAGUGCAGUUAAGCUUUUCAUUUAAUGUUAUAUAUAAUUAAAUAUAUUAAUAUUUAAUACAUAUAUUAACAUAUGCAAUAUACUGGACCAGUACAAAAAGGACAAAUAUGCACAACAUAUAACUGUGAUAAUUAUACUUUGUUAGCUUUUAACUAGCAAGGUGUAUGUGUUAUUUUUUUGUACAGUCUCAAAAUAUGCAGAAUUAUAAAUUGGGAUAGGCAUUGUAUUAAACAUGGUAAAGUUACUUUUUUCACGUGUGGAAUUGACACAGAUAAGUUAGACUUGGGUCCCAUGAAGCUUCAGGUUCUUCAGGAACUGUAACGUGCCUUGGGAUUGUCUGUUCGAUUUCAUGGUGAGAAAAUUUACCGCUGUACUUACAGUGCGAUCCUAGUAAAUUGAAGUUAUGCGGAUGGCAAACUUUUAUUUAUUUAUUAUUUUUACAUUGAAGGGUAACAAUGAAAAUAAAAAAUUUCCUGAUAUGUUGUGUAAUUUCA